GACGUAGGGCGCGAGCGUUGUCCGGAUUUAUUGGGCGUAAAGAGCUCGUAGGCGGUUUGUCGCGUCGUCCGUGAAAACUCACAGCUUAACUGUGAGCUUGCGGUCGAUACGGGCAGGCUAGAGUUCGGUAGGGGAGACUGGAAUUCCUGGUGUAGCGGUGAAAUGCGCCAGAUAUCAGGAGGAACACCGGUGGCGAAGGCGGGAUCUCGUGGGCCGAUGACUGACGCUGGACGGAGCGAAAGCGUGGGGGGGAGCAACAGGAAUAGAAAC
rnacentral:rRNA from 1 species